UGGAAAUGUAGCUCAGUGCAAAGGCCCUGAGUUCAAUCCCCAGUACCACACCCUACCCAAAGUCUAACUGCUGAAUAUUAUCUGACAUUCUUUUAAAGAGUAGUUCAAACUACGAUGUAAAGCUUCAUCCUUCAAACUGGGAGUCUAAAAACAAUAUCUGAAAAAAUACUUCCAAAUAAGACGUAUCUUCUUAUUGCCCAGCCUUAAGUAUUUUCAGUAUUAUUAAAGGAAAAUAUUUUCAAUCCUUAUGCACAGUUUGGCAGCAAUGAUCUUUUAUAUGUAAGCCAAAGAAUUAUGGGUAUGAUACUCAGCUUUUAUUUAGAAACCCUAUUUAUUACUGCAGAAAAUUACAAUGCUGUCAAACAUUGUCACUUUAUAUUGCCCAGAAACUGGUUCUAAUUAAGAUAGAGAUGGACAAAGGAAGAUAGUACCUAAUAAAAUUCAUUUCAUUUGUUGAAGAAAAAAGAGGUAGAACCAAGAGAGAAGAGAUGGGGAUGAGGAGAAAACAUGGUACAGUCCAGUCACUUAGGACAUUCAUUCUCUGCUUCUUUCUUUCCAUCUUCAUGUGACAAUGUCUCUUGUGCUUGCAGGCACAAGGCGCUUUACACCAAAGCAGACUCAAAGCAGCACUUUGGCCACAGCACUCUUUGAUGGUUACAAAUGAGGGGAUAAGGAUUUCUCUCAGUUAGAAGGGAACAGGAAGCGAAAACAGAAAGCCAAGCAAGAAAGCUAAAGGUAUUGCUAUCAGCUAUCAUUUACGAUAAAGUCUUCAAAACAAUUCUAUCAAAGCCAGAGUUAUUCUCUAACAGGAGAGAAUGAGCUCUAAUCUCUAUGCCCACCAGCAAAAGGCCGCACCCUCUGGAUCUCAUUUAAGCCGGAUUACCUACCAAAGUCUCCAUCUCCAAUACCAUCACUCUGGGGGUGAGGACUUCAAGAGAGUAACUCGGGGGGACCCAAUACAGCCCAUGACCGAGAGCCCAUGGGUUUCUGUCUCUUACUCUUGCCCCCAGGACCUCACUUCUUGGGCCUCCCUGCCACAAGUAGAGCAUCCAAGCCAGCCGGCGUCACUGACCACACUGAGAUUCUGUCUCAAAAUGUGUGCAGAGCAUGCACACGUGAUUUCUACUGCAGCCAAGUCAUUACCUUUGCCCUCAUAAACGCUCCGUGGGUACACGUUGUUUAACGUGCUAUGUGCGCCAUGCGUCAUGUCCUAGUCACUUCGGAGGUUGGUACUCAUCAGAAUAUGUAUGGCAGCCGAGAACUGACAAACCUUCCCCUUCCCCUAAAAUACAAGUUAACCUGUCGGUUUGUCUACUUGCUUCUGAGUAUUAUUUGGAUAAAAGCUACCGCCACUACCACCUUCAGGCUUAUCUGGACUCAAGUUAGAUGAGAGAGGGUGAGAAGAACAAGUAAAAGGCCCAACUACCUGGGCCCCUUUUCUUGGAAGAAAGAGUCCAGUUUCACGUGAACGGAAGACACAGAGGUCUCGUCCACCUGGACCCAGCACUGGCUCCUGCAGUCACCACACUGCCGUGCUCCAUGAUGACUGGUCACCCACCACACACUCAAAAGAGAAGCCACUGCACGGCCGGGAAGUGGGUCUUCUGUUCUCUGAAGAAGAGAUAAAUCUAGGUUUUGAUAUUUUCAAGCUCACUCAUAGAUUGCCCUGACCCCAGGACACCCUGCUUGACAAUGGAGAAAAUAGGGUUGUGUGUAUUCAACCACCACCCACGACGUGCUUAUGUGUUAGCAUUUUCACUCUCCAUAUACUUUGUUUUAUUGGCAUGCAUGCUCCUGAGUAACCAUAAGCAUCAGACCUGAAGGUUUUAUUAGUUCUAAAAGAAACCAAAUCAUCAACUAAUCAAAACUGCUUAUUGAAUGCCUGAUAUAAUGCUGGGAGUGGCUCAUCCGGCAUGCAUGAGGCCCUGGGUUUGAUCUCUACCACCAUAAAAAAAAAAAUUGGUAAACUAUGUACAUAUAUAUAAGCUAUAUUAUAUAUUUUAUAUGUGGCCGAAGACAAUUCCCUCUCACUCAGUACAGCCCAGACAAGCCUCUCCUAAAUGCUCUAAAUUUACAUUUAAGACACGGUGCUCAGACUUGAAGCAUUUGCCAUCAAAAACAAACAUGUAAAGAUGCUGCUAGAUAAAAGACAUUCUUCGGUAUGAGAAAAUCCACCAAAGGCUGCUACAGGGUACAAAGGAGGACUGAGGACAACUACUUCCGUGCGUUAAACAAUGCAUUCGAACGGCUUCUGGACGGUAAGCAGGAGCGGUUGAGAGGCCUUCCAAGGGUCUGUGUGACAAGUGAAGCAGACAGCUCAGGCAUUCGCUGUUCCCCAACAGAAAGAGCCCCACAGGCAGACACGAGGGGACGAAGUACGAGGCGCUGUCAGAGAGGAAGCAGCCGGCUUUGUGCGAUGUGAGGUACAAGAUGGGGACAAGUAGAAGACAAAACUGGAAGACUGAUAGGAGCCAUGCUGCACAUGUCCCCAGCUGCCAGGGUCGGGCAGGUUCACCGAGCAGAGCAGCCCGAGAAGCAUGGGAAAGCAAGAGAGCUCCACUUUAAACUAACCCAGUUGCAAAUAACAGGGUGAAUUUCUUGAGGCAGAGAGGGCAGGGACACCAACGAAAAAAAUACAACACUUAGCUCAUUCACCCAUUCCUUGGUGCAGUCUGAAUGUCUCCACCAAAGCUGGCGUUGAGACUGAGCACUCCCCGUGAGAUACUAGCAGGCGGGACCAGGUGGGACCUGGAAGAGGUGAUUAGUGGGCUGUGGGUCAGCAGAUUAGAGGAUUACACGGUUAUUUGAGGGGUGGCUUUGCUGUAGAGCGAGACGCCCCUGGCUUGGUCUCAGCUGGCCAUGAAAUGCUCUGCACCGAGCCUGCACUCUGCAGCAAGAAAACACACACAGUCCUGCAGCCCCUAGCCGUCAGCUCCCCAGCCUCUGGAACUGUAACAAAUAAAUUCCUUCUCUCUAUAAAUUAUACAGGUUUUGGUAUUCAGUUACAGCCACAGAAAAUGGUCUCCACCAUUACUUGAAGAUUACUUCAGGGAAACACGAACUGAUCGCAUUCUAUGCGUCGGGCACCUGCAGGUGCCUGAAGGACAAGCCACUUAGCCUGACAACAAAAACAAAAGGUGGGGCAAGCAACUGAGGAAGAGGCACCCUGAAGUUGUAUGCAUGGUGCUGGGGUGAAGACCAAGUACAUGCUUUGGAAUUACCAGAGUAUGAGGCGCAGGGCUUGGAGACAGCAGCACUCCACAUCGGUGACGAUGGUGACCCAGGCUUGGAGUCUUUCCCUAGCAGAGUUAGCAGGAUGGCACGCAGGCAACCUGAGGGAGGCUGAAUGGAGCUACUGCUCAGAUAAGGGCGAAGGGCGUAGGAAGGGCCAGGCGCUUGGGGAGGGGGCAGACAGCCAGAGGGGUGAGAAUGACCGAAGGUGGAGAUGACUGGGUUCAGGCUUGGACAGGGCUUGACGUGAAUGUCGUAGCAGCAUCCUGGCUGAAAUUCAAUCUCCACUGUGAGGUAUUAAGAGGCGGCAGCAGGCAGGACCUUUAGGGGGUGACGGGGUCAGGAGCUCAGAGCCACUGACCCAGUCAUGAUCAUCUUGAGAGUGGGUCGGUCACAAAAGCCAGCUCGCUGUCGCCUUUCUGUGCCCCUCUCACUGCGGGACGCCCCGUGCCACCUCGGAAGCCUGCACAGAGGCCCUGCCAGCAAGAAGAGCGUCACUGGAUGAAGCCCCUUGAACUUAGGCCCCCGGUCUCCCAGCCUCUGAUCUUUGUAAGUCACCCUGUUUCUGGUAUUCAGUUCUGGCAACAGGAAACAGGCUGCGGUGCAGUGAACUGGAGACGCUUGUAGGAAGAACCACAUGAUGGCAGCAGUUGCUGAGCUGAAGAAGAAAUCCAGAGAGGCGAAUAAAUCCUGAAAGCCGGAAACCCUGCAGACACCAGACUCCUGGCCCCACAGUCAGUUCCCACCUGCAAGGAGGCAGCACAGGUGGAAGCACCACGCUGAACAAGGCACCACUGUCUUCAUUGCUAAUGCUUAUGUCGCCUCAACUCUUCUUCUGCAACAUCUCUGGAUCUUACCUACUCCUUCUGCACCCUGCCCUCCAGCCUGUAGUUCCCUCCCUCCCUCCAGUGUGGUCUGCGUUCUGUUGUUGGCCCACCUCUGCCAGAGCUUUCUCCUUCUGCUGCUGCUGAAGACUGUAAAGGCACCUGUCAUGGGUUGCACAGUGUCCCCCACAAAAAAGACAUGUGGAAAUCUCUCUUACAGUUGGGCAAAGUCGUCCAAAGCCUGUUUUAUAACAGUGUUGAAUAUUUCACAUAAUGUACUAAACACCUGCAUCGCAACAUUCUGGCAACACAGUAUGAGGUAGGUUGUGGGGGGACCCCGCAGGAUAAGGCGGCUGUGAGCCGUGGCUCACUGUACGCUGCCCAGCAGCAGGAGAAAGUGUCAGUCUGAGUCUGAUUCCUACUGAGUGAGGAUCAUUUCUGCCCCGAGGUACAGGUGAAAAUCCAUAAGGUGGGAAGAUUCCGGGGGGUUCAGAGAAGUAAUCAAGUUUAAAGGAGAUUGUCACCUGGGGCCCUUCUCCAAUCUGGUGUCCUUAGAAAAAGGGAAAUACGGACACAGAGACAGACACACACAGAGGGAAGAUGCUCUGCAGACCCACAGAGAUAACAUCUACAAGGCAAGGACUGACUGAGGUUCCCGAAGUUAGGAGAGGACUCUCUUCCAUAGCUCUCGGAAAAACCAGCCCAGUUCACACACUCUUCGGUGCCUACGCAGCAAGUCCAUGCAUGUCCACCAGGCCCUCAAAUCCUCUCUGAUCGGCCCCAUCUUAGAGCCCCGAUCUCUCUGCCUACACCUUGUGGUCAGCCCCCGGCCCAGUUCUGCAUGUCUCCUUACUAAUCCAGAUGUGGACUAUGGGUCUCCCCGUGUCCAGGAUGCUCCUGACAGCCUUUUAUGCCCCAACAUCGUCUCUCUGCCUCCUAAAGAUUGCACCAUCUUCAAGCUCUAGCUGUAGUCCUUCUCCUCAAUUAUACUGCCCUUGAUUUUUCAGCUGAUGGUCUUGUCUCUUCUCUGACCCAUCACUGCACUUACUGCCUGUACCACAUACGUUCUCAUAUACACAUGACUAUGUCUUGCUCACACCAUUCUCUAAUGGUUUCUUGUGUGCUGUGCAGCAGUGUAGACUCAGAUUUUUUGUUUUGUUUUGAAACAGGGUCUUGAUAGUGGUCAGGCUGGGCUCCAACUUGCAAUCCCUCUGCCUCAGUCUCUUGGGUGGCUGGGAUCACAGGUGUAUGCCAGCAUGCCUGGCUAAUAAUCUCUACAAAAACCACUCCCCCAGACACUCCCUAGGUUUGCUUUCACAAUAGGACAUCCUUUCAUCCACAGCUUCUUGCAAUUCCAUUAUCAUUUUGCAGUACUAGGGAGGAACCCAGGGCCUUGCACAUGCUUGGCAAGUGGUCUGCAGAGAAUGCUCAGCUCUGGUAUAAUUACUGUGGAAGUGACCCCUGUCCCCUUUGCUGGGGAGCUGCCCAGGGCUGCACAUGAGUUAGACAAGUGCUUACCACUUAGCUGUAUCUUCAGCCCAGAAAGUGACCUUUUAUGUCUUGCUUUUUUUUUUUUUUCCAGUGCUGCAGAUUUUGCAACCCAGGGCCUCACACAUGCUAAGCAAGGGCUCAGCUACAAAGCUUUGAGCUACAACCCCAGCUCAUCCAAAGUGAUUUUCUAAAGGAAUCAACUCCAAUUUAGAAUCUGAACACAGUUCAUCCCAGGAGCAUUUCAAAUCAAGGAAGAACUCACUGGCCUCACUGCCAAGUUCAAAUGAAGACAAACCACAGGAGUUUACCCUGUCGGUUUGUCAGGUAAGUACUCACACUCAGAAAGCACUAAAUUUUCCCUAUAAAG